AUUGAACGCUGGCGGCAUGCCUUACACAUGCAAGUCGAACGGUAACGGGACUUCGGUCUGGCGGCGAGUGGCGAACGGGUGAGUAAUGUAUCGGAACGUACCAUUCAGUGGGGGAUAACGCAGCGAAAGUUGCGCUAAUACCGCAUAUUCUGUGCGCAGGAAAGCAGGGGAUCGCAAGACCUUGCGCUGAUUGAGCGGCCGAUAUCAGAUUAGCUAGUUGGUGAGGUAAAGGCUCACCAAGGCGACGAUCUGUAGCGGGUCUGAGAGGAUGAUCCGCCACACUGGAACUGCGACACGGGCCAGACUCCUACGGGAGGCAGCAGUGGGGAAUUUUGGACAAUGGGCGCAAGCCUGAUCCAGCCAUGCCGCGUGAGUGAAGAAGGCCUUCGGGUUGUAAAGCUCUUUCGGCCGGGAAGAAAUCGUAUGGGUUAAUACCCUGUGCGGAUGACGGUACCGGCAUAAGAAGCACCGGCUAACUACGUGCCAGCCGCCGCAGUAAUAC
rnacentral:rRNA from 1 species